UUGGAGGGCAAGUCUGGUGCCAGCAGCCGCGGUAAUUCCAGCUCCAAUAGCGUAUAUUAAAGUUGUUGCAGUUAAAAAGCUCGUAGUUGAAUUUUGGAUUCUGCCAGUUGGUCCAUCUUUUGAUGAGUACUGAUUGUGUGGGGUCUAUCCGCCUGGUGAUACGUAAUGUACUUUAUUGUAUGUUGCGGGUAGUCAGGACCUUUACCUUGAAAAAAUUAGAGUGUUUAAAGCAGGCUUAUGCCGGAAUACAUUAGCAUGGAAUAAUAGAAUAGGACGAUGUUGUUUUAUUUUGUUGGUUUCUAGGACAACCGUAAUGAUUAAUAGGGAUAGUUGGGGGCAUUAGUAUUCAAUUGUCAGWGGUGAAAUUCUUGGAUUUAUUGAAGACUAACUACUGCGAAAGCAUUUGCCAAGGAUGUUUUCAUUAAUCAAGAACGAAAGUUAGGGGAUCGAAGACGAUCAGAUACCGUCGUAGUCUUAACCAUAAACUAUGCCGACUAGGGAUCGGGCGAUGUUGUUUCAAUGACUCGCUCGGCACCUUAUGGGAAACCAAAG
rnacentral:rRNA from 1 species